GAUCAGGGAUUGGCGGUGGGAGGGCGGAGAAACAGGAGGGUGGGAAGAGAGGAGGCCGAGGAUUGGACCGAGUCGUGAAGCACCCGGAUGCAGCCAGCAUUCCCCAGCAGCGCCGCCGCCGCUUCCGCCAGGCGGUUGGGUAGGCUGAAGUGGAGAGGCAAUAGUAUCCGCUAGGCCUGAAAGGAGCUCCUGAUCCCGGGAGGUGUGCGACUAGCAGAUCCGCGGGAACAACCAGCUGGUUAACCAAACAGAGAAACCAAACUUCCACAGUCACCAGAUGUCUUAAUUUGGAACAGUCAGAAGCAAUGUGAAAUAAUCCAAUUCUUGAAUUGAUUGCUGUCACCCAUGCUAACCACUUUCAGUCUGAGUAAUGGAGGGCUGGAGGAUCCUUGAAGAAAUGAAAGGGCUCUGACAGAAUCAUAACCAAGAUAAAAAUAUUCUGACAAAAGCCAGGAACUGGAAACACAUUGGGAAAUGAAAGAGAUCAUCUCUAGAUGGACCUAGUCAAUAUGAAGGAGUUGAAGAGGUGUGACUGCAGAAAAGGAGGGAGUAUUUUAACGGUAAAAGAUCUGUAAUGGUGACAGGUGCAAUAAAAGCACCAACUUCAGCAUUAUACAAUUCAUCCUGGUAACAAGAAACUUGUACCCCCUAAUAUUUUGAAAUAAAAAUUAUAAAAAUAAAACAACAAAAAUAAGAUCUUCACUGGACAUGUGGAGGCUUACUUUUUGGGGGGUGUGACCUUUAGUUAAUCACAGAUCCUAUCUGAACCUUGAUCUCCUCACAUUACCACUUGUUCUAUUUGCUGGUUCUUUUGUAAUGCAUCCAUGACAUAACAGUAACUAACAUGUAUUAAAUUCUUGCUAUAUGCCAGGCACUAUUCUAAAUAUAUGCAGUAUAUACGCAUUAUAUGUAACAGUAUAUAUGCAUUAUAUAUAACAAUAUAAAUGCAUUAUAUCUCAUUUAGCCUUCCAGACAAGCCUAUAUAAUAG